GAUGAAGAACGCAGCGAAAUGCGAUAAGUAGUGUGAAUUGCAGAAUUCAGUGAAUCAUCGAAUCUUUGAACGCACAUUGCCCCCCUUGGUAUUCCAUGGGGCAUGCCUGUUCGAGCGUCAUUUGUACCUUCAAGCCUUGCUUGGUGUUGGGUGUUUGUCUCGCCUCUGCGCGCAGACUCGCCUCAAAACAAUUGGCAGCCGGCGUAUUGAUUUCGGAGCGCAGUACAUCUCGCGCUUUGCACUCAGAACGACGACGUCCAAAAGUACAUUUUUACACUCUUGACCUCGGAUCAGGUAGGGAUACCCGCUGAACUUAAGCAUAUCAAUAAGCGGAGGA
rnacentral:misc_RNA from 1 species